GUACUCACUUUGGCAGCAUAUAUACUAAAAUUGGAACGAUACAGAGAAGAUUAACAUGUCCCCUGCGCAAGGAUGACAUGCAAUUCCUGGUGUUUCAUAUUUUUUUU
ensembl:snRNA U6 U6 spliceosomal RNA